AGAGUUUGAUCCUGGCUCAGGAUGAACGCUGGCGGCAUGCCUAAUACAUGCAAGUCGAACGAGAGGAAGGAAAGCUUGCUUUUCUGAAUCUAGUGGCGAACGGGUGAGUAACACGUAGGUAACCUGCCCAUGUGCCCGGGAUAACUUCUGGAAACGGAUGCUAAAACCGGAUAGGUAGCAGACAAGCAUUUGACUGCUAUUAAAGUGGCUAAGGCCAUGAACAUGGAUGGACCUGCGGUGCAUUAGCUAGUUGGUGAGGUAACGGCCCACCAAGGCGACGAUGCAUAGCCGGCCUGAGAGGGCGGACGGCCACAUUGGGACUGAGACACGGCCCAAACUCCUACGGGAGGCAGCAGUAGGGAAUUUUCGUCAAUAGGGGGAACCCUGAACGAGCAAUGCCGCGUGAGUGAAGAAGGUCUUCGGAUCGUAAAGCUCUGUUGUAAGAGAAAAACGACAUUCAUAGGGAAAGAUGAGUGAGUGAUGGUAUCUUACCAGAAAGUCACGGCUAACUACGUGCCAGCAGCCGCGGUAAUACGUAGGUGGCGAGCGUUAUCCGGAAUGAUUGGGCGUAAAGGGUGCGUAGGUGGCAGAACAAGUCUGGAGUAAAAGGUAUGGGCUCAACCCGUACUGGCUCUGGAAACUGUUCAGCUAGAGAACAGAAGAGGACGGCGGAACUCCAUGUGUAGCGGUAAAAUGCGUAGAUAUAUGGAAGAACACCGGUGGCGAAGGCGGCCGUCUGGUCUGUUGCUGACACUGAAGCACGAAAGCGUGGGGAGCAAAUAGGAUUAGAUACCCUAGUAGUCCACGCCGUAAACAAUGAAAACUAGGUGUUGGGGGAAUAA
rnacentral:rRNA from 1 species